GACAGAGGGUGCAAACGUUGUUCGGAAUUACUGGGCGUAAAGCGCGUGUAGGCGGCUAUGUAAGUCGGGCGUGAAAUCCCACGGCUCAACCGUGGAAGUGCACCCGAAACUGCGUAGCUAGAGUUCUGGAGAGGAAGGUGGAAUGCUUGGUGUAGAGGUGAAAUGCGCAGAUAUCGGGAAGAACACCCGUGGCGAAGGCGGCUCUCUGGGACGGUACUGACGCUGAGACGCGAAAGCGUGGGGAGCGAACAGG
rnacentral:rRNA from 1 species